UACGUAGGGUGCAAGCGUUAUCCGGAAUUAUUGGGCGUAAAGAGCUCGUAGGCGGUUUGUCACGUCUGCUGUGAAAACUGGAGGCUCAACCUCCAGCCUGCAGUGGGUACGGGCAGACUAGAGUGCGGUAGGGGAGAUUGGAAUUCCUGGUGUAGCGGUGGAAUGCGCAGGAUAUCAGGAGGAACACCAAUAGCGAAGGCAGCUCGCUGGGACGUACUGGACACUGAGGCGCGAAAGCGUGGGGAGCGA
rnacentral:rRNA from 1 species